GCACCUACCGAUUGAAUGGUCCGGUGAAAUCUUUGGACUGUGACUUUGACUUGUUCAUUCAAGACGCUGUCGCGGGAAAUUGAUUAAACCUUACCAUUUAGAGGAAGGUGAAGUCGUAACAAGGUUUCCGUAGGUGAACCUGCAGAAGGACA
rnacentral:misc_RNA from 1 species